CCUACGGGAGGCAGCAGUGAGGAAUAUUGGUCAAUGGGCGGGAGCCUGAACCAGCCAAGCCGCGUGAAGGAAGAAGGUGCCAAGCGUCGUAAACCUCUUUUGUCGGGGAACAAAGACCGCCACGCGUGGCGUUGUGAGUGUACCCGAAGAAAAAGCAUCGGCUAACUCCGUGCCAGCAGCCGCGGUAAUACGGAGGAUGCGAGCGUUAUCCGGAGUUAUUGGGUUUAAAGGGUGCGCAGGCGGAAGAUCAAGUCAGCGGUAAAAUUGAGAGGCUCAACCUCUUCGAGCCGUUGAAACUGGUUGUCGUGAGUGAGUGAGAAGUAUGCGGAAUGCGUGGUGUAGCGGUGAAAUGCAUAGAUAUCACGCAGAACUCCGAUUGCGAAGGCAGCAUACCGGCGCUCAACUGACGCUCAUGCACGAAAGUGUGGGUAUCGAACAGGAUUAGAUACCCGGGUAGUC
rnacentral:rRNA from 1 species